GUUAAAUUUGGUACCCACUUGCAUAUAUAAUAUGACUUUGAUAGUUAUGUUUUGUUGUUCUAUUGUAUAAGGGUCAUCUUGAUGCCUUACAUGUAAAAACUGUAGAGGCUGUCUUUUUGAAAAAGAUAGAACAGUGUUGGAGUUUUUGGUUGAAUUUCUUCAUAAAUAGGCUAACUAGAUUGGCAAAAACAAUGUGUAAAAUAAGCUCUUUUGAAAUUCAGUUACUUUAUGCUAGGCCUUCUAUAAUGAUCAAAAGUCAAUAUUGUAUAAAGCAAUUACUUUUAUGCAAUAUUGGUUAAAAUUAUGAUUGUUUCUCCUGACAUUACUUUUUGCUAUGUUCGUCAUGCAAAGUGAGCAAAAAUUUCUUUUGGAACUUGCUUUAUGUAUAAUUAUGUUUCAAGUUAUUAACAAAGCAAACAUGUGAUGAGAAUGAUUUUGAGGAGAAGGUUGGCGCUUGGCUAUGAGAGAUGGAGGGAGGUAAAUUUGCUGCAUAGAAAUAUAACAGAAGUUAUAGAGAAUUUCCAAAUAAGGAUCUUACAAAUAUGGAGGAAAGUCUUAUAAAUAUCCAAAUUACUUUCCUUGAAUGCCAAAUAAGCACAAUAAGUCAUUCAGUUUGAAGGACAAUGCUCUUUAAGAUCUGAAGAUGGUAUAGUGAUUGGAUGGGUUUUGAUUGAUAUUACAUGGAAGUUUCUGCAGGUUUACUCUCAUUAUCAUGUAAUGAAGGAAUUGGUGGAAUAAGACCACAAGAGUAAAGUAGAAAUGGAAAAAUACAUGGCUCUGGUCACGAUCCUACAAUCUCUUAAUGACACAUUACGUGUAAGUAGAUUUUUUUUAUAUUUGUAGAAAUUAAGCCUAAAUGUCUAUUCAUUCUUAAUUUUGUAGGAUCCUGCAAAGAUCCUACAAUCUCUUCUAACACAUUACCUAAAAACAAUAAACUUGGGUGAAGGAAAUAGCUAGCUUGAUCUACUAUCUAAGCAGGUUGUUAUGCUUGCGUAAUAGGUAUUAUAUGUACUUGGGUUUCUUUCAUUUACUUCUUUUUUGCCUGUAAUGCAAUUGAAGUGGAAAACAAAUGAGAAAGCAGUUGGUAAUAACCUCCAUGAAGAAAAAUGCAGGGGAAUUGGGUCUGAUGGAGAAGUUUUUCACGUUCUUGAGAGAAUUAGAUGUUCCUUUGGAGCAGAAUCAACAGCUCAAACACUAUGUCAUGACGGUAUUUGUUAUGGUGAGUUUUCUACUCAGUUGCACAAAAACUGAGGAUCACAAACCCCAUAUGUGAUUAAUUGAAGGUAUUGUAUUUGUUUUAGUAGACACAAAACUACAUUGCGUUUCACUGUACUUAUCUUAUUGACAAUGACCCACGAGGCUACUCACAUUGAGAGAUUUUUCUUCCUAUUCUAAGCAAGCAAUAUUGGGACUCUUUUAUAAUACACAAAGAUAAUGACGAUAAUGAUUCCUUGA